rnacentral:lncRNA from 1 species
CUUGGUUUGGUUACAUCAGGCCUGCUGGCCUGGGAGUGAUGCUGCUGUUAUUUUGGGUGACUUGUUCUGUUUCUGCUUUGAUGCACUUUGUGUUGAUUUUAUCAUUGAACACAGAGAGGGCAAUCUUAUGUCCCCUAGCUUCAGGUUUUCCAUGUGCCUGUCUCCUGCCCUGAUUGUAGUGAUCUCUUCGGCCAAUCCUGACUUUGCAGGACAUGACAUUUAAAGUGGGUUAUAAAAUAUGGACAAAAUAUCACCAUAAUUUGUGAUAAUAUAGUGUUCACAUCCAGCUGAGCCUGUUAAGAGGUCUAUUAGAAAAUUUACUGUUUAGCUUUUGAGAGCUUAUUCAAGUUAGUGGACUUUCAUAGUAGGGAUUUUUAAGAAUAACUUUUGAAAGGGGUAAAUUGCCCACAUAAAAAUAAUUCCUUGUUUUCCCUUCCUCAAACUCAUGCCUAGUUUGGUGUUUCUCUGCGUAUAUUCCAAGCAUACAGACAUUUACAGUUGGGUGUCUCUUUUUAAUCUCUACAGACACCACGCACUAAAGGCAUUCUUUCUUUUCAUUAAAAAAAAAAAAAAAUCACUCUUCAGUGCAGCGUGAAGUCUACUAGGGAGGCAGCUUGUUUGGGAAACCUCCCCGUGCCCUUGGACUUGUUUCCUUUUGCCUUUGAGUUUAUUCUGGAAAUUGCAACAUUUAGCACUUUGCAGUUUAAUUUAAAAGGAUUACCUAUUUUCUUAAAUGCUUAAGCAGGGAAGCAAGUUGCAGUUAUUGAUUUUUCCCUGCAUGUAUUCUGUGGAAGCUGUAUUUGGUCCUUCCCCAGGGAACACACCUCCUGAACUGCAUGCUUACUGUGACAGCUUGGACCUCUGAUACAUAACCAAAGACCUUGCCUAAUAUCCU